GCAAUCUUUCGAGAAGACUAGUUAUUUGUCUCAGCAGAGAAUUCUCACAAGGAAUCUCACCUGCCAGUGCAAUCGGUACAUACUCUAAUUUGUACCCAUAGAUACACAUCUUCUAUGCAACAAUCCUUUUUACAUUGAAGAAACAGAAGCCACAUUUCAGAGGAUACAUAGGACACGGAGAUGGCAGCAAUUGGUUCGUUUGUUUUCCCAUGUGUGCAAGAAAUAUUCUGGUAGGCCAUAAACAUGGCUAAUGAGUAACUCGUUAGAAUACUCGUCAUCUCUUUCAAAUUACAUGCAUUCAUUCUCCUGUCUUUUUACACAUUCUAUAGUAGGUGGGCUCUCCAAAUUUACGGACGGAGGCCUCUCAAACUUCUUUAACACCCCCAAUUUGAUGCAACUGCCAUGACUGAUGCAUUUGAGUCGCAGCUUUGGCUGUUGCCAGAGAAGCCAUUGUGUUAUCCUGCAAUAUCGGUUGGUUAGUUCUUGGCAAACAAGAAAACUACCGAUAAUCCAGAUAUAUUUUUCACUAAAUCCCUGAACAAAAAGCCGAUAAUCGAGAAAAACACCAAUGAUCCAGAUAUAGUUUUCACAGAAUCUCCUCAGCAGAAAGCUGAUAAGAUAUGGACCUAUGGUGGAGCAGUUGCAUCCCUCUUUAUUGCACCAGUGAAACAUCCAUCCCCCAGUUCCGAUUAAACAAGAUCAUCAAGGUUUGACUCUAUUUUAAACUCCACCGAGCAGAACUCUCAGGCACGCAAUUUUUAAAUAAAUAAAAAAUUCUUUCAUUUCUAGCAAAGAAUCUGAUGGUACCAACAAAGCGAAAACCAGCGAGGACCCACGAAAGAGUACAGAAAAUAUUAAGGAAUUCGAAUACCGAGAGAAACUAAAGAAGAGAUAUAACAAAACAGAAAAAGAUAAAAAAAAAAAAAAAAAAAAGGAACGAAGAGGAGGGGCUUACAUGCUGAGCUGAGAGGAUCGAACAGGACCAGUGAAGAGAGAACGACCCCUACACAUUGUGGCAAAACAAGAAAUUUUGACAAUCAGCAGGCGAGCUUCACCCAAAACAUAUAUGCGGAUAUAAAAACCAGUAAAAAAAAAAACUGGAAAGCGGGACUUGUCGUCGCAGAUUUAGGGCUUCUCUGGAGAGACGGCUUUGAGCAGAGCGGAAAGUGGAAGCGAGUCGUCAAUGGAAGAUUAGACGAGAGAGCAGAGCCAUUGCUUCCUGGCCGCCAGUCGGGAGGGACGGAGAAAGCCGAGCCCAAUCGGUCAUCGGGAGAGAGCGGAAUCCAGGCAGACAGAGGUCACGAGAGUGAGCGGAGAGAAUGCCAUCGGGAGGAAGAGGCCGUCGUCUGGAGGGAGCGUUGUCGGAGUGAGCGCUAUUUGGGAGAGAAGAGAACGUCGUCGGGGAGAUAGUGAGAAGAGAGAAGAGAGA
rnacentral:lncRNA from 1 species